rnacentral:rRNA from 1 species
CAGCACCUCAAGUGGUCAGGAUGAUUAUUGGGCCUAAAGCAUCCGUAGCCGGCUCUGUAAGUUUUCGGUUAAAUCUGUAUGCUCAACAUACAGGCUGCCGGGAAUACUGCAGAGCUAGGGAGUGGGAGAGGUAGACGGUACUCGGUAGGAAGGGGUAAAAUCCUUUGAUCUAUUGAUGACCACCUGUGGCGAAGGCGGUCUACCAGAACACGUCCGACGGUGAGGGAUGAAAGCUGGGGGAGCAAACCGGAUUAGAGACCCGGGUAGUCC